rnacentral:misc_RNA from 1 species
GCAAACUUGGUCAUUUAGAGGAAGUAAAAGUCGUAACAAGGUUUCCGUAGGUGAACCUGCGGAAGGAUCAUUAUUGAAAAGCUUUGGAGAUACUGUUGCUGGUCUUUUAACAAGGCAUGUGCACGUAUCUCUAAUCCUAUUCAUCCACCUGUGCACUUUUUGUAGAAGUUCUUAGUAGGAUUGGCUUAUAGGUUUCUGACCUUGUAGUUGAUUUGAAAGGCUUCUAUGUUUUUACAAACCAUAUAAGCAUGUCUAGAAUGUUCUUUUUAUUGGGGCUUCAUUGACCCUUUAAAAUCUAUACAACUUUCAGCAACGGAUCUCUUGGCUCUCCCAUCGAUGAAGAACGCAGC